rnacentral:rRNA from 1 species
UAGCGUAGGGUGCAAGCGUUGUCCGGAAUUAUUGGGCGUAAAGAGCUCGUAGGCGGUUCGUCACGUCGGCUGUGAAAUCCCGAGGCUCAACCUCGGGUCUGCAGUCGAUACGGGCGGACUUGAGUACUGCAGGGGAGACUGGAAUUCCUGGUGUAGCGGUGAAAUGCGCAGAUAUCAGGAGGAACACCGGUGGCGAAGGCGGGUCUCUGGGCAGUAACUGACGCUGAGGAGCGAAAGCGUGGGGAGCGAACAGG